UACGUAGGGUGCAAGCGUUAAUCGGAAUUACUGGGCGUAAAGCGUGCGCAGGCGGUAAUGUAAGACAGUUGUGAAAUCCCCGGGCUCAACCUGGGAACUGCAUCUGUGACUGCAUUGCUGGAGUACGGCAGAGGGGGAUGGAAUUCCGCGUGUAGCAGUGAAAUGCGUAGAUAUCGUUUGGAACGCCGAUGGUGAAAACAGGUCGCUGGGGCUGUGCUGACGCUGAGACACGAAAGCCAGGGGAGCGAACGGG
rnacentral:rRNA from 1 species